rnacentral:rRNA from 1 species
UACAGAGGGUGCAAGCGUUAAUCGGAAUUACUGGGCGUAAAGCGUGCGCAGGCGGUUCUAUAAGACAGAUGUGAAAUCCCCGGGCUCAACCUGGGAACUGCAUUUGUGACUGUAGAGCUGGAGUGCGGCAGAGGGGGAUGGAAUUCCGCGUGUAGCAGUGAAAUGCGUAGAUAUGCGGAGGAACACCGAUGGCGAAGGCAAUCCCCUGGACCUGUACUGACGCUCAUGCACGAAAGCGUGGGGAGCAAACAGG